rnacentral:lncRNA from 1 species
UGUUCUUCUGAGGGAGGACAGGAACUACUAGGGUAGGUAUUCCUCCAUAACAAGAGUAUUUAACCAAUAUUUAUAUUUAUAUAGUUUAGUUUUAGGAUAGAUUCUUAUGGUUUAUUAAUUAAAACAUGAAUAAAUAAUUUCUCUUUGCUUCUAAAACAAUAGACUACUUCAACUACAAGUGUAUACUGUAUAGUAUAAAUAGGGAAGUGGAUUAGGAUGAAUUUGCAGAGAGUUUGAGUUUCAUAUAUACAAAAAAAUGUCAGAGAAUAAUUCCCUUCUUCUACUUAUAGCAUUAUUAGUUUUCUCUAAUAUUUUCUCAUUUAAUGCUGCUCCAGUUUCAAGUACAUAAUCUUGAUCACUUCUCUAUCUAAGUAGCUUAAGUUACUCCUAUCCGAUUUUAUUUUUCAUUAAUUGAACUUCAUUGUUCUUGUACUACAGGGCAUACACGUCUGUUUUUGCAUGAAAAUCAAGAGCUUCCACCACCUGCAUAUACUAACCAGGUACUUAUGCUCGUAUAUAUUACAACAACGUACCUAGUGUAAUCUCACAAAUAGGGUCUGGAGAGAGUACUUAAUCUGUAUGCAGAUUUUACCCCUGACUUGUGAGGGUACGUAUAGGGCUACUUCAUAGAUUUCUUGUUUCUGAUCACAUUUUCUUCUUUUUUUUUCGCGGGUAUUUUUGAAUAUGAAUGAAAGCAGAUGAUGAAAUUCGAAGCUAUGGAGGAAGAGUUCAUCAAUGGCAGGAUGGAUUUAGAGAGUCAUGAUUACCCUGGCUCGGGAGCGAAUAAUCGUCACACUCCAAGGCCACCUAUUGAGACAUAAUAUAAUUAAGUAAUUAAUUAAAAGUGCAUUUUCUCUAACAGUUUAAUGAUGCUUUUCGCUCUAAUAUGAUGCAGCCUACUCAACAUUCUGUCUGUUGUACGAUGUUUAAUCUUAGUCAUUAUGAAAUAAAAGAUCUGUGAUGAGUUAAUACAACCAUAAACUUGAUUUAUCAUGUGCAUCUCUG